GGAGUUAGCCGGUGCUUCUUCUGUGAGUGAUGUCCUUCCUGCCGGUUAUUGACCCGCAGGCCUUCUUCCUCACUGAAAGUGCUUUACAACCCGAAGGCCUUCUUCACACACGCGGCAUGGCUGGAUCAGGGUUGCCCCCAUUGUCCAAUAUUCCCCACUGCUGCCUCCCGUAGGAGUCUGGGCCGUGUCUCAGUCCCAGUGUGGCUGAUCAUCCUCUCAGACCAGCUACGGAUAGUCGCCUUGGUGAGCCGUUACCUCACCAACCAGCUAAUCCGACAUAGGCUCAUCCGAUAGCGCGAGGCCCGAAGGUCCCCCGCUUUCCCCCGUAGGGCGUAUGCGGUAUUAGCCUGGGUUUCCCCAGGUUAUCCCCCACUACCGGGCAGAUUCCUAUGCAUUACUCACCCGUCCGCCGCUCGCCACCAGGGAGCAAGCUCCCCGUGCUGCCGCUCGACUUGCAUGUGUUAGGCCUGCCGCCAGCGUUCAAUCUGAGCCAGAAUCGAACCCUGA
rnacentral:rRNA from 1 species